AGUGAACGCUGGCGGUAGGCCUGACACAUGCAAGUCGAACGGCAGCACAGUAAGAGCUUGCUCUUACGGGUGGCGAGUGGCGGACGGGUGAGGAAUACAUCGGAAUCUACUUUUUCGUGGGGGAUAACGUAGGGAAACUUACGCUAAUACCGCAUACGACCUACGGGUGAAAGCAGGGGAUCUUCGGGCCUUGCGCGAUUGAAUGAGCCGAUGUCGGAUUAGCUAGUUGGCGGGGUAAAGGCCCACCAAGGCGACGAUCCGUAGCUGGUCUGAGAGGAUGAUCAGCCACACUGGAACUGAGACACGGUCCAGACUCCUACGGGAGGCAGCAGUGGGGAAUAUUGGACAAUGGGCGCAAGCCUGAUCCAGCCAUACCGCGUGGGUGAAGAAGGCCUUCGGGUUGUAAAGCCCUUUUGUUGGGAAAGAAAAGCAGCAGGUUAAUACCCCGCUGUUCUGACGGUACCCAAAGAAUAAGCACCGGCUAACUUCGUG
rnacentral:rRNA from 1 species